UUCCUACGGGAGGCAGCAGUGGGGAAUAUUGGGCAAUGGGCGCAAGCCUGACCCAGCAACGCCGCGUGAAGGAAGAAGGCUUUCGGGUUGUAAACUUCUUUUCUCAGGGACGAAGCAAGUGACGGUACCUGAGGAAUAAGCCACGGCUAACUACGUGCCAGCAGCCGCGGUAAUACGUAGGUGGCAAGCGUUAUCCGGAUUUACUGGGUGUAAAGGGCGUGCAGCCGGGCCGACAAGUCAGAUGUGAAAUCCGCGGGCUUAACCCGCGAACUGCAUUUGAAACUAUAGGUCUUGAGUGCCGGAGG
rnacentral:rRNA from 1 species